rnacentral:tRNA from 1 species
GGGCCCGUAGCUCAGCCAGGCAGAGCGGCGGGCUCCAGACCCGUAGGUCGGGGGUUCGAAUCCCCUCGGGCCCACCA